rnacentral:rRNA from 1 species
CGGAAGAUGUAACGGGGCUAAGUAGUAAACCGAAGCUGCGGCAAUAUACUUUUGUAUAUUGGGUAGGGGAGCGUUCUGUAAGCGGUUGAAGGUGUGUGGUAACGCAUGCUGGACGUAUCAGAAGUGCGAAUGCUGACAUGAGUAACGAUAAAGGGGGUGAAAAACCUCCUCGCCGGAAGACCAAGGGUUCCUGUCCAACGUUAAUCGGGGCAGGGUAAGUCGACCCCUAAGGCGAGGCCGAAAGGCGUAGUCGAUGGGAAACGGGUUAAUAUUCCCGUACUUCUUACAAUUGCGAUGGGGGG